rnacentral:lncRNA from 1 species
GUGUGUGUGUGUGUACGAGCAGAGCAGAAGAAAGGAAGGGGGAGCCCUUCUCAAACCCUAAGCAACGAAUUGGAAGGAUUCUGGCCGAAAUCGAACCUGCAUGAACCUUAAUAGUGAUAAUCUAAGCAAGAUGUAACCAAGGAAACCAUGUUUAUGAGAACGUGUCAAGGAGAGCUCAAGCAUAGGAGGAUAACGGGUCAAGAUAAGGCAAGGUGACAAAUACACUUAUUGGAGUACUCAAGGUAAGUGAUUUCCGUAGUCACUUCUUAGUUUGUUUAAGUAAUACAACGCUUUAUUUAAUUAGACAUGAUGUUUGAUGUCAAUUAUGCGUUGAAGUCUUUCAUUGUGCAUAAUGGGAAUAAAGUUGAUUAAGACGCCCUUGAUGGGUAUGUUGGGCGAACAAUCUUAAAGUAGACUAUAAGGAAGCUAUUCGAUUAGUGUAAUGGUUAUGGUCUAGUGUGAAAAUGUGGAGUAUGGUUUUGUAUGUCUUAAACCAUUUAAUGCGUAAAUAACCAUAACGGGUCGAAAAUAAGCAUUUGAGCGAUAAUGGGUUAAGAGGAUGCAAGACAUCCGAGAAUUUAAUCUUUUAUGAUAGAUGUCAACAAAAUUAUUAAGUUCAUAUAAGAUUGAGGUCAAAUAAUCAGAUUAUGUUGAUGUACGCUCGAACGGGUCAAAUAGUUAGAAAAUGAUUAUAAGUCGAAUGCAUGUAAGUUAAGAAUUUCCUUAAUCCGGAUGUAGGAUUUUAAGUUCAUAUGAAAGAAUGUGAAUGUACAAGCAUGUAGGAAGAAACCGGAGGUUAAACGGGUAAACGGUUUAAAAGUUAUGCGAGUUUUAGUGCGUUCGAACGACGAAAGCAGCACAGCAGAAAAAUGGCAAAAGCAGAGGCCGUCGUCGACGCCCCUAUGGGCCGUCGCCGACGCCUCGUGCUUUUUCAGUUUGCUCUGACGUCCUAUUUUCCUGUCUACGGGGUUUUUUAAGCUACGGGAAAAACUAAAAGCCGUCGCUGACGGCCUCCCAAUGUUUAGAAUGCUGAAAUUUGUUAACUAAGUUGUUUAAUGUAUCGUAAGCUUCAGUAUAUCAACCGUGGUCUAUGGUAAGCCUUCUAAACCAAAUUUUGGGUGUUCUCUUGAUGUUUUUGGAUUCUAAACCCAAGAAUAAGCACCAUAUAAAUAAUGUACGAACACGAUAAGUGUAUACGAACAAGUUAAACAAGAAUUGGAUGUAAGUAAAAUAUGCGUAGACACGAAUAUGUAAGCACGCAAGUACGUAUGCAGGUAUGCUUGGUUUCAAUAUGUUUGGGUAAGGAUCUCACUAACAAUGUGCUUGAGAUUGGUAGGUAAUGCAGGAAUGAGAACGACGGAUUCUCGUGGAAUGGAAGCUGAACUCGGAACGAGAGAAUCCGAGAGGAUAGUUGGAUAAAUCAAAGUUUACUUUGUCGAAUGUUAUACUAUUUAAUUAUAUGUGAAUU